CCAAAGGCUCUUUUCAGAGCCACCUACCCUUUCAGAGAAACAGGUG
rfam:Sus scrofa chromosome 7.